rnacentral:rRNA from 1 species
AUACGUAGGGGGCGAGCGUUGUCCGGAAUGAUUGGGCGUAAAGGGCGCGUAGGCGGCGCGGUAAGUCUGGAGUGAAAGUCCUGCUUUCAAGGUGGGAAUUGCUUUGGAUACUGCCGCGCUUGAGUGCAGGAGAGGUUAUCGGAAUUCCCGGUGUAGCGGUGAAAUGCGUAGAGAUCGGGAGGAACACCAGUGGCGAAGGCGACUUUCUGGUCUGUAACUGACGCUGAGGCGCGAAAGCUAGGGGAGCGAACAGGAUUAGAUACCCUGGUAGUCCUAGCCGUAAACGAUGGGUACUAGGUGUAGGGGGUUUAGACGCCCUCUGUGCCGCAGUUAACACAUUAAGUACCCCGCCUGGGGAGUACGGCCGCAAGGCUGAAACUCAAAGGAAUUGACGGGG